AAUCCUUGUGAUUUACCUAACUGGAUAUUAGGGACUGCAAAGCAGAAAAUAAGAUAAUUAUGAUAUGCUGGUGUUGCAUCUCACCUGCGUUUAAUCUGAUCACUAACUUUAGAACCGAAGCCCUUCCCCUACCAGAAACUAUAACUCUACAAAACCAUUGCCAAGGGAUGAGAAUGAUACCAUUCAGCGGAACUACAAACAAGAAAGUCAAACUGGAAAACCAGAAAACAGAUGGCUAAACUCUUUUCUAAACUUUUCCAAGAGCAGUGUUUAUGCAGGUGACAGCCUCAGCUGUGACAAAGGAGAGAAAACAGAAAGACCUGGGAAAGUGCAAGGAUGAAGCAAUUAAGUUUGAGAAAUGUGAUGUGAGGUUUAGGAAAGGUGGAUUUUAGCCCCAGCAGACUUUUAGCUGGACACGGACCUAAUACCUUGAGACUUCAUUGUUCCCAUUAAAGAAAAAAUUAUCUUCUGACUUUCUAGGGGUUUGGGGGUCCCAGAUAUCAAAAGAUUUAAACCACUUAGGAGGUUUCCAUUGGAAGGAGAAGACUGUCUUUAGCCCACUGCAUCCCCUCAAGCCAUCCCAAGCUUUCUCUGUGCCAGGGACUGGACGCACGCUAAAAUACGAACCUGUGUGGACUUCUUUCUUAGGAGCCUUUGCACCAGCACAGGAAAGAGACAGAGACAGUGAUGGCGAGACUCAAGCACGCAUAUCUUGAUGGACUCCAAAAUGCUCUUCCUAAUUCCUUCUCUGUGGCUCAUUCUUCAUCCUCUAUUUGCAUUGGUAUGCCAAUUCAUUGCUGACACUUCAGUGGAUGACUUGGAAGUGAUUUUUAAAAAAUUAUUACAUCAAUGUCAGUAUGACAAACUUUGCCAGUUCAAAUGUGUACUGCCUUGGAAGUGGCAUUGCAUGAGGAAAAAUUAUUUUCUAACAAAAAUAGGAAUAAAAUUCAAAAUUAUAUAUAAAAAUCUAAAAUGAAAACGACAGAACCUGUAGUAACCUCUGCAUGAUGUAAAGGUGGUUGCAAUAAAAAUCGCGAGGAAAACUGAAAAG
rnacentral:lncRNA from 1 species